rnacentral:sRNA from 1 species
GUUAGGUGCAGUGGCAAGCUCUUGUAGUCCCAGCUACUGGGGAGGCUGAGGAAGGGGGAUCACUUGAAUCCAGGAGUUUGAGGCCAACCUUGGCAACAGAGCAAGUCCCUGUCUCAA